rnacentral:rRNA from 1 species
GAUGAACGCUGGCGGCGUGCCUAAUACAUGCAAGUAGAACGCUGAAGGAAGGAGCUUGCUCUUUCCGGAUGAGUUGCGAACGGGUGAGUAACGCGUAGGUAACCUGCCUGGUAGCGGGGGAUAACUAUUGGAAACGAUAGCUAAUACCGCAUAACAACAGUUGUUGCAUGACAGCUGUUUAAAAGGUGCAAAUGCACCACUACCAGAUGGACCUGCGUUGUAUUAGCUAGUUGGUGAGGUAACGGCUCACCAAGGCGACGAUACAUAGCCGACCAGAGAGGGUGAUCGGCCACACUGGGACUGAGACACGGCCCAGACUCCUACGGGAGGCAGCAGUAGGGAAUCUUCGGCAAUGGACGGAAGUCUGACCGAGCAACGCCGCGUGAGUGAAGAAGGUUUUCGGAUCGUAAAGCUCUGUUGUAAGAGAAGAACGAGUGUGAGAGUGGAAAGUUCACACUAUGACGGUAUCUUACCAGAAAGGGACGGCUAACUACGUGC